rnacentral:lncRNA from 1 species
AGUCAGUCUAUUACGACUUUUAAAGAUUGCUGCUUAAGCAUUUUUCCUAUUUCCUUGACCAAGAACUUGGAUAAAGGAAAUUGAAAUGAUAUGAAGAUUGAGGGGUUAACCAGGAAAGAAAGCCAGGUAACAGGAAAGGAAGAGAUCUUUCUGUUUAAUGGAAGGAACAAAACAUGGAACAUUGCCUACUGAGUUCAGAAUUGGCAUCACAUCUCUGAGAAGUAUGACUGCAGAUGAGCCUAUGAAGAUUAAAAACCUAAAGUCCUUAGUCACAGCACCAUGAAGAGCUUUGUCUUGGUUAGUGUGGCCUAAUGGAAAAGGAGAAUAAGUAGUUUCCUGGCCCAACCUGAGACAACAUUUAAAUUUCUACAGAGAGAGUGGUAGGAGUGGAAUAUAUAAAAGAAUAGCCCAGAUAGAGACUCUUUGAGUUCUUUAGAAUAUUGGAGUUGAUGUAUUAGAAGAUUCUACGGCAACUGUAUCUAAAGCUGCUUCUCCACCAUUUCUCCAUCUUAGCAUGACUGCCUGAGCUCGGGUAUUCAAAAAUUGUCAGUUUCUGAGUCCUUGGCUUUUUCUCCAGAUACCUCACACAUGUCUUCUGUUAGCGAUAUUUAGCAGUACCUUGAAAAAAAUGUAAGGACCAUGCUAGAAAACGGACAACAAAAGUAAUAAUUACUGCUAGUCAGGACUUUUCCUCUUCUGAAGAAUCCAUCAGAAGAGUACUGUAAGGCUAGUGUACAGUGCAAGGCGAAAGUUGAUCAACUCAAGCCUCCUCAUCCCUGUGCUCUGGACGGUGAGACAAGGUUGAAGCAUUCCUGGCCAAUUGAAGCUACAUAAUAGGACCUAGGACCCCAUCUCAAAAUAUUGGGGAUAAAAAGCUGUUUGGAAGAAUAACAUACCAAACUCAAAUCUAUGUAUAAACAGAAAAAUAAUUUUUAUGAGGAUACGAAAGUAAUACUGUCUUGGACAUUUAUAGGUGAGUAUGUACUAACCAAUAAAAAUAAUGAGCCAAAUGCCUAACGUAGAUGUUAAGUAGGAAUGUUUACAACAGGGAAAGAACUCUGGAGUUCUUACAUAGAUCAGAAGGAAAUGUAAAAGGUGUUUGCCAAGGGCUUUGUGUAUAUGUUAGUCAUUAGUACAAAUCAUAUUUUGUACAUAGGAAAUGGAGACUUAUAGCUACAAAGUCAGAAUUUGAAAUCAGAACCCUAUUCAGGGAGCACAAUGAAUCUUUUUCAUUAAAUGUUAAUCCCCGGGUGAGGCUGGUAGGGAACAGAAGCCCAAGAGAGAGUUGUAAAAAUAAGUACUUGCUUUCUGUAACAUCCCUGUCUCAAGUCUAACAAACUUAACUCUGAUCUUUCACUGUUGAUCAAUUCAAUGCAGACUUACCUGCCUCAUAAUAUUAGAAGAAUCCCCUUCAGAUCUCCUAUGCAAGUAACUUACAUGUUUAAAGAUUUAUGGCUGAGAAAAGUGUGUCUUGUAAAUGAUUAAUAGCUGUGGUCAUUAGUGCUUUUCCAUGAAUUCAACAGGCAUAUACAAGUUAUCUUGACUAUAUUCUCAUGUUAAAGAGCUGAAGAUCUUAAGUUUCAAUCUUUAUGAAAUGGAGCAGACACCAACAUCAGCUGAAAGAAAGGGUUGUUUUGUCUCUCAACAGCCUUUUCUGAAAGAAAAUAACUAAUGCCUUUCUCUCUGCUCCAUGCUUUUUUUCCUCUUGCUCUCGUGGCUGUCUAAAAUGUCUAUAAAGCAGCACUUGCCUUACAUGGAUCUUAAACCAAAUUAAAGUCAAGGAAGAAUUUUAUAGAAUCUGAAGGAUUGACUCUGUAUUUCCCUUAAGUGGCUUAUCAUCUGCAGACCUAAUGCUGAGGGACUCUCCAGGCUCCAGCGUCCGUCAGCUUCCAAUGCAUGCUGUUUCCUUGGUAUACAUGCAUGACUUCAGAAACACCAGUUUUUAUUUUUUUAUCAUGCUAAUUCUGAAUACUUCUUGAUCAUGUAGGUCAUUUACGAUGUGAAACAUUUCACGUUAUACAACUCAGGCUAUUACAAACAGGAAAAGAAAGCAACCUGAUUUCUGAACUAGGGUCACAAACAGCUCCAGCAGGAACUAGAGUGAAGGCAUGAAGCAGGAGUGUCCAUUCCUUAUCAUGCCAUGUAUUGCUAUGACCUCUGCAUCUGUUCUGCCAUUAGCCAAGCUGCUGAUUCUACAUUUUAGGUCUUAAUAUCACAUCCAAGAAAUUUCUAGUUAACUCAUAGAUCAGAUAAAAUCUCUGAUAUUUCUUCCAACAGACUCCUGAAUUUAACUGGCAUAGUUAUUGCCACAGACUUAACCAUAAUAAUUAAAUAUGUAUAUUCUAUUAGCCCUUAGUUUGGAGAAGACAAUGACCAAGCCUAUUCACCCAGUGGCUAAGCCCAGCAGAUUCUAAAUAAGGAAGUACACUGUAACAGGAAUCUCAGGGUUAAAGGCACUAGCAAGAUAUUAAUACUCCUCAGAUAUUAAUUAAACUGAUCCAGGACAUGACAUUUCAUAGCCUCAAUUCAACAUUUCAGGGUUCAGUAACUCUUAAAACAUGCCUACUCCUGUCAGGCAUAAACACUUUUAUAGACAGACCUUAUAAAGAGAUCUUACGGAUCUGUGCCCCAAUCAUGGACUUACAUGAAGGUGCUCAAUGGCAGUUCUAUCUGAAGUGGAGAGUGGGAUGAAGAGCGGAUUGGUGAGAGUCCUCAUCCAGAAAUGGGUCAGUUCCCCCCCCCCCCAACCCCCUUAGAAAAUACCAUUCUUUGUAGACAAGUUUUGGAUAAAAUUCUUCUUUCAAUAUGC